rnacentral:rRNA from 1 species
AUGCUGUGGCAGCACUCAGGUUCAAUCAUGUGUUGUUCCCUGCAGGUCGGUUGCGUGCUUGCUCAUUUUGUCACGUCACAUAUAUUCAUGCUAUCAUUGUGUGUGCCAAACAAAAGAAAUGUUUGGCUAGCAACAAUUUUAUGCUGCUCCUGUGUUCAGCUUCGCCAAUCAGGCCGGCCUCGACAUGCCGGAGGCGACGCUGAUCGCUCUCCAGGUUCCCAAAGAACAUGCAGCAGGUACUUAGCCAAUCACCAUUCUUCAGAACGGGAGACUCGCCCCCUGCUGUUUGUAACAAGACUGAAAGUCUGGAACUCUUGUUGUGUUCAGGGUUUUGCUUACCUCCCUGGCGGCGUGUAA